rnacentral:rRNA from 1 species
UACAGAGGGGGCAAGCGUUAUUCGGAAUUAUUGGGCGUAAAGGGCGCGUAGGCGGCUUGGCAAGUGGAUGGUGAAAUCCCUCGGCUUAACCGAGGAACUGCCGUCCAAACUGCUUCGCUUGAGACCGGGAGAGGUGAGUGGAAUUCCCAGUGUAGCGGUGAAAUGCGUAGAUGUUGGGAGGAACACCAGUGGCGAAGGCGGCUCACUGGACCGGUACUGACGCUGAUGCGCGAAAGCGUGGGGAGCAAACGGG